rnacentral:rRNA from 1 species
GUCUUCUUGUUAUAUUUAGGAAGUCUGGCCUGCCCGGUGAAAUAUUUUAACGGCCGCGGUAUUCUGACCGUGCAAAGGUAGCAUAAUCAUUAGUCUUUUAAUAGAGGGCUGGUAUGAAGGGUUUAACGAGGUGUUGACUGUCUCAUUUAAUUUGAUUUUUAGAAUUUAAUUUUUUAGUUAAAAAGCUAAAAUAUUAUUGGAAGACGAGAAGACCCUAUAGAGCUUUAUAUUUUUAUUAUUAAUUUAUUAUAGUUUAUUAUUAUUUAUUAUUAAUGAAAAGUAUUUUGUUGGGGUGACAAAAAUAUAUAAUUAACUUUUUUAUUUUAUUUACAUUGAUAUAUGAAUAUUAGAUCCAAUCUUAUUGAUUGUUAGAUUAAGUUACCUUAGGGAUAACAGCGUAAUCCCUCCCCAGAGUUCAUAUUUACGGAGGGGCUUGCGACCUCGAUGUUGGAUUAAGAUAAUAAUUAGGUGCAGCCGCUUAAUUAAUAGGUCUGUUCGACCUUUAAAUUCUU